GCCCGGGCCUCUUUCGCUAAGGCGCGGCAAACUUGUGCUCCCCUGCGGCUUCCCCACAGCCCAGCACAGCCCCCACCACGGCUGUGUGCCUGUAGGGCUGCUGCUGAUCCUGAAUCCGUAUCAAAGGAAACCGGCCUACUCCAUCUUGGAGAAGAUCUUGUCUGGAGGUUUGAUUUGCAUUUCCUCCAGCAGCAUCUAGAACAGAAGGGAGACAGUACACCUCACCCUGGCGGUGCUGUGGAGGCAGUCUCUUUCCCCCUUGUAUUGUUGUCACUAGUCGGGGCAUUCAGGGGAGGGCAAGCUUGUUACCAGGAGGCACAGCAUGGCAACACCUGACCUCCAAUCAAAGUGUAAGAAAGUGAUCUGCACCAAUGGAUGGCAGAGAAGGAGUUGACUGACAAGACUUUGGGAUGCGCCAAGGAUAUAAAAGGCAGAGCAGCCAUUUUGUAGAU